rnacentral:rRNA from 1 species
ACCCUUUAAUGUUUGAUGUUCUAACGUGGACCCGUAAUCCGGGUUGCGGACAGUGUCUGGUGGGUAGUUUGACUGGGGCGGUCUCCUCCCAAAGAGUAACGGAGGAGCACGAAGGUUGGCUAAUCCUGGUCGGACAUCAGGAGGUUAGUGCAAUGGCAUAAGCCAGCUUGACUGCGAGCGUGACGGCGCGAGCAGGUGCGAAAGCAGGUCAUAGUGAUCCGGUGGUUCUGAAUGGAAGGGCCAUCGCUCAACGGAUAAAAGGUACUCCGGGGAUAACAGGCUGAUACCGCCCAAGAGUUCAUAUCGACGGCGGUGUUUGGCACCUCGAUGUCGGCUCAUCACAUCCUGGGGCUGAAGUAGGUCCCAAGGGUAUGGCUGUUCGCCAUUUAAAGUGGUACGCGAGCUGGGUUUAGAACGUCGUGAGACAGUUCGGUCCCUAUCUGCCGUGGGCGCUGGAGAAUUGAGGGGGGCUGCUCCUAGUACGAGAGGACCGGAGUGGACGCAUCACUGGUGUU